rnacentral:ribozyme from 1 species
AAAAAAAAAAAAAAAAAAAAACUUCUAAAUACAAUAAUGAAGGACUAUUCUUAUUCCAAUUUUUUUCUCGUUGUUCUAUUAUCCAUGCUUGUGGCAAGUUGUCAGACGCAGAAAGAGGUGGUGGAUCUGAAAUU